UACAGAGGGUGCAAGCGUUAAUCGGAAUUACUGGGCGUAAAGUGUGCGCAGGCGGCCGAGCAAGUCGAGUGUGAAAGCCCCGAGCUUAACUUGGGAACUGCGCUCGAAACUACUUGGCUAGAGUGUGGCAGAGGGAGGUGGAAUUCCACGUGUAGCGGUGAAAUGCGUAGAGAUGUGGAGGAACACCGAUGGCGAAGGCAGCCUCCUGGGCCGACACUGACGCUCAUGCACGAAAGCGUGGGGAGCAAACAGG
rnacentral:rRNA from 1 species